AGAGUUUGAUCAUGGCUCAGAGUGAACGCUGGCGGCGUGCUUAACACAUGCAAGUCGAACGAGAACGGAUUAUAGCUUGCUAUAAUUGUCAGCUAAGUGGCGCACGGGUGAGUAAUAUAUAGAUAACCUGCCCUCAAGAAAGGAAUAACAGUUGGAAACGACUGCUAAUGCCCUAUAUGCCUUUAAUACAUAAGUAUGCAAGGGAAACGCUUUAGUGCUUGAGGAUGGGUCUGUAUGGUAUCAGCUUGUUGGUGAGGUAAUGGCUCACCAAGGCUAUGACGCCUAACUGGUUUGAGAGGAUGAUCAGUCACACUGGAACUGAGACACGGUCCAGACUCCUACGGGAGGCAGCAGUGGGAAAUAUUGCACAAUGGACGAAAGUCUGAUGCAGCAACGCCGCGUGGAGGAUGACACAUUUCGGUGCGUAAACUCCUUUUAUAUAGGAAGAUAAUGACGGUACUAUAUGAAUAAGCACCGGCUAACUCCGUGCCAGCAGCCGCGGUAAUACGGAGGGUGCAAGCGUUACUCGGAAUCACUGGGCGUAAAGAGCGUGUAGGCGGGUAUAUAAGUCAGAAGUGAAAUCCUAUAGCUUAACUAUAGAACUGCUUUUGAAACUGUAUACCUAGAAUGUGGGAGAGGUAGAUGGAAUUUCUGGUGUAGGGGUAAAAUCCGUAGAGAUCAGAAGGAAUACCGAUUGCGAAGGCGACCUACUGGAACAUUAUUGACGCUGAGACGCGAAAGCGUGGGGAGCAAACAGGAUUAGAUACCCUGGUAGUCCACGCCCUAAACGAUGUACACUAGUUGUUGUGAGGCUCGACCUUGCAGUAAUGCAGUUAACACAU
rnacentral:rRNA from 1 species